AUUGAACGCUGGCGGCAUGCCUUACACAUGCAAGUCGAACGGCAGGACGGGUGCUUGCUCCUGUUGGCGAGUGGCGAACGGGUGAGUAAUACAUCGGUACACUUCCUGUGGUGGGGGAUAGACCGGAGAAAGCCGGAUUAAUAACGCAAAAGAUCUACGGGUGACAGGGGGGGGGCUGGGGGGUUUGGGCUGUUGGGUUGGCAGAUGGCGUAUUGGAUCGUUGGGGGGGUAAACGCCUAUCCAGGGGGUGUGCCGUAGCUGGGGUGAGAGGACGACCAGCCACACUAGGACUGGGACACGGCCCAGACUCCUACGGGAGGCAGCAGUGGGGAAUGUGGGACAGUGGGCGAAAGCCUGAUCCAGCAAGGCCGCGUGUGUGAAGAAGGCCUUCGGGUUGUAAAGCACUUUUGUCCGGAAAGAAAUCCUUGGCCCUAAUACGGUCGGGGGAUGACGGUACCGGAAGAAUAAGCACCGGCUAACUACGUG
rnacentral:rRNA from 1 species